rnacentral:siRNA from 1 species
CGAAGGAGCUCGUUGUCUUCGU